rnacentral:rRNA from 1 species
UACGGGGGGGGCAAGCGUUGUUCGGAAUUACUGGGCGUAAAGGGCUCGUAGGUGGCCAACUAAGUCAGACGUGAAAUCCCUCGGCUUAACCGGGGAACUGCGUCUGAUACUGGAUGGCUUGAGUUUGGGAGAGGGAUGCGGAAUUCCAGGUGUAGCGGUGAAAUGCGUAGAUAUCUGGAGGAACACCGGUGGCGAAGGCGGCUCACUGGACCGAUUCUGACACUGAGGUGCGAAAGCUAGGGUAGCAAACGGG